rnacentral:rRNA from 1 species
AUUGAACGCUGGCGGCAGGCCUAACACAUGCAAGUCGAGCGAGCGGCGGACGGGUGAGUAAUGUCUGGGAAACUGCCUGAUGGAGGGGGAGAACUACUGGGAACGGUAGCUAAUACCGCAUACCAUCAGAUGUGCCCAGAUGGGAUUAGCUAGUAGGUGGGGUAACGGCUCACCUAGGCGACGAUCCCCAGCUGGUCUGCGAGGAUGACCAGCCACGCUGGAACUGAGACACGGUCCAGGCUCCUACGGGAGGCAGCAGUGGGGAAUAUUGCACAAUGGGCGCAAGCCUGAUACAGCCAUGCCGCGUGUGUGAAGAAGGCCUUCGGGUUGUAAAGCACUUUCAGCGGGGAGGCGUUACCCGCAGAAGAAGCACCGGCUAACUCCGUGCCAGCCGCCGCGGUAAUUC